CUCCAGUUACACCGGUCAUGGCGGAGGACAUCGCUUGACCUGCUGCUUGGAUAAGCAGAAAUCCCUUUCCUUCUCUGCUGUUAAGGCAAAGAAAGCUCUCCUUCUGAGAGCUUCCAGUUCUUACGACAUGCCCAAGUUAGGAGCUUAUCAGAAGAAAAAAAGAAGAAACUGCAUCAACCAAGUAUGGAUGAGAAGCCAAACAACAAAAACAGGCCCACAAAGAACUUUGCUUACGACAGACAAACAAUUGCCAAAAUCAACCUCUGGGAGCUUUCUGAGAAGAAAUGAUGAAAAUAUUCCUGUGUGAUUGCAUCUACUACUGCCAGAAUCUGCAGGGGAACUUUCUGGAAAAUGGACUAAACCCAUCUCUACCUCUUGCAUGAGCCUCUGAGCUGGAGAAUGUGAAGUGAUGCAUAUCACCUCCAUACUGCUCUUCGAAUUUCUCCUUGCUUUAACUCCAGCAGCCAAGUCUCGUCAAGACCACUGAGGAACAGUGCAAAGUAGCAUAUACGGAUGUAUCUAAAACAGGGACAGUUAUUUGAAAAUGAAGACUAAGCUUUUUUGAACCCUCAAACGCCAAAAUUCUGUUGUGUUCCUCUAUGCAUAGAAACUCUUCCAGAAAACUUUAUGCCAUACUGCCUUACCUAUUUCUGCUUGCAACUGCAAAAAUGUGUUGCCCACUUUCUUUAGUAGAAAGUUUAUGUUUUUGCAGGGUGGAAUGUAGUACAUUUUUUUUUCCAGCAGCCUCCCACAUUUCCUCAAGUCACAACCCCAUUUUUGGAGUUUGUGGAUCUCUUUGCUGUCAUCUGUGAGGAAACAUUUUAGUGCUGUAAUUUUGUGUGCCACGUUCCAAGAAAGGGUUUGGCUUGUAAACGAUCUUUCCAGGGUAGAAUUUGGAUAACUAUGUUCUGAUUUUUAUUUUUGUUCUUCACUCAGUGGUAUGCAAACCACAGGACCAUACAGCACAACUACAGAAAUGUGUGAACGGAUUAUGCAACCACUUCCUGUUAUAGCUACAAAAUAUGAAAAUGAUGAGUUAAGUGAGUGAAAAAUAAUGUCACUGUUCAAGAAAGUGGCAAGACCGAGACAUGUAUCUGUGAAAACUGAAAUACAGUUGCUCAACAGACAUUUCUAAGAUACCUAAUGUUAAGAAGAUAACUUGAAAAGGAAAUGAAUUUAUUUCAUGAGCAA